UGGCGAACGGGUGAGUAACACGUGAGGAACCUGCCCCGAAGACCGGGAUAACCCUCCGAAAGGAGAGCUAAUACCGGAUACCCCCACCGAGUCGCAUGGCUUGGUGAGGAAAUGGAUUCCGCUUCGGGAGGGCCUCGCGGCCUAUCAGCUUGUUGGUGGGGUAACGGCCCACCAAGGCAUCGACGGGUAGCUGGUCUGAGAGGACGAUCAGCCACACUGGGACUGAGACACGGCCCAG
rnacentral:rRNA from 1 species